ACUGCGUUCAUCUAGGUCUGAUAGUGUAAAAUCAGAGCAUCAGUAUUUAUGGUAUGUCUGCACCUUUAUUCCUAUGCUUGACUAUUAGCAAUAUUACAUGUAUAUUAUAUAUCUAAAGUUAUACCAAGCACCUUUAAAAAAAUCAGAGCGCGUGCUCCGUGCAGUCCCCACAUCCCUACAUCUCCAUAUCCAUGCAUCCCUAUAUCCUGACAUCCCUACAUCACCGCAUCCCUAUAUCACCGUAUCUCCACAUCCCUGUAUCCUCAUAUCCCCACAUAUCUCCUUAUCCCCACACCCCCAUUUCCCAGCUCCCAGCAGCUGUAGGACCCUCCUCCUCCCAGCUGUGUCCCGGCAGCAGCGGGUGCCGUCCCCAUCCCACUAUGGGGUGCACAUGGACCGGUGGCCUCAUGGAGCCACCGGAGCAGGGAUCGAUGCCUUUCCUGAUCGUUUUCCUGCUAAGCUUAUGUUGGGAUUGCUUAUAUUUACAGAAAUAACUUGCUGUGAGCGGAGAAGGGUGUAUGGCCCAUUAACCAACCCAAAACCCAGAGCCUCUGGCCGGCUAUAAAUCCUAAAGGCGGCACAGAGAACUCACGUCUCUUCUGGGGCUCCAACUGCUGUUUAGAAGUGUUCCUGCUGUAUAGAUGUGUCACGUUGUCAGCCUAGGGCUCGGGGCCACCCCAAAGCCAGGGCUGUCAGGAGCUCCGUGCACCGAUAGGGCUGUGCCAUGAGUUUCUUCCACUGUUAUAGAAGCGUUUUGCACACCAAGGUUGGUUUUUAUGUCGAAAUUAAGAAAAAAGAAAAAAAAAAGAAAUAAUAAUAAUAAUAAUAAAAAUAAUAAUAAUAAAUAUAUAUAUAUAUUAAAAAGAAAAGAAAACAAAGCCAAAACUCGCAAUACUGUUUUUAGCAGACGGAAUAAAUCCACGAACAAAUAACGAGAUGAAAGGAACGAAUGAGUGGGUGGAAAACGACGCCGUAGGGAAAGGCUCCAAACUGUCCUUUGGGGCAGGGGGCGUUGGGUUGGGUCAGAGUGCUGACCCAACUUGGGCUGCUUCAGGGGAAGGCAAAAUGAAGGGUUGAGUGGUGCCGUUGUUUUGGAGGCGGCUCCGGCGCUGUGCGCAGUACUGUGACUCCACGACUGUUAUCCCUGUGUGUGCUGUAGGACAGCCCCGCAGUACCGCUGAGCUCCGGCUCUCAGCCACGGACGAUGCUCGCUUCGUCUUGGUUCUUUUUGAUUUUGACUUUGAUCGCGCAUUAUUCACCGGUAUUUAUGUGCUCUUUACUCUGUGUAGUUCUGACUGUUAUUUUGUAGCCACGGCUGAUGCCAUAUAGAGGUAACUAAAACCAGAAAUAAAAGGUUAAGGACAAACCCCAUCCCCCCCUCCCUUUACCCCUCACCCUCUAUCGGAUCUGUGCUCACAGCUGUUUUCAGACGACGGAAAAUCCAUUUAAGAGGAACGAAUUUCGCGGCCGGUGCGACCAUGAAUUGUACAACGCUUUGUAAAGUUCACAUUUACAGAAUAAUAAAGGAAAUGAUGAUUACA